rnacentral:tRNA from 1 species
GGCCUUGUAGUGUAGCGGUUAUCACACGGGAUUCUGAUACAAAAUUCCCGUAACCCAGGUUCGAUUCCUGGCAGGGCCU